UAGAAGACCCAUAAUGAAAUCGGCAAUCUUCGACAAUUACCGCCAUAUCUCGCCAUUUAUCGUAACGAACUUCGUUUGUUUACGUAUAAAGUCGGAAUUCUAAUAAUAGCGAAUAUCCCCGGUCACGUGGUAGUAUUCCCCAAGAAAAUGACGUAAUUUCCGCAGAUAUCUAACAUGGCGUCUUACAGCGUGACACGCUCGGUCGAUUCAAAAAAAGUGUAAAAAGAUGCAGAAAACUCAAGUAUUCCGACUUUAUUAUAGAACAUAACAAUAGUGCAGGUAACCAGUAUUACGUGUCAACCAAACCAGCUCUACAAGACAUCAACUCUUCCUAAAUCGGUUGAUAAUGAGGGUUGGAAAGAGGGAAGAAGAAUCGUUGAGUUUGGCGUGUUACGGUCAAACCUAAGAUUUUGUAAAAAAUGUAGACUUGGACCAGUUGGCUACCAUUAACAGUACUGAUUAACUUUUGACAACAUGUUAGGUGAAUUUAAACAGGGAGUGUCUGGUUAUUUGUAUGUGAAAUGUCGAAACACAGAAUGCGGUCAUGUGAAUUGUGUUCCCUAUGGAAAAACACACAGACUCUAGUAGAUUGAAGACCUGUGAAAGUUGGAAUGCCAUGUUUCGUUGUCAACACAAAAUUAGGAACAGCAAUGAUUGAUAGUGUAGGUGGGCCGGUGAGGGUCAACAAUUUGUUGUCAACACUAAAUAUACCAACAAUUGGAAAUAAAAACAUGAAAAGAAAUGGAGAUACGUGUUGGAAAUAUCAUUGAGACAGCACUGGCUUCUAUGCCGACAGAAUCUGCUGCAUAAGAUCAAGGAAAUGGAGGAUGUGCAUCAUGAAGAAUCAAUGGUAUCAGAACACAACAUCAUGGAAGAUCUUAUUGACAAGAUCUCGGAGGAUGUCCUUUGCCAGAUGUUUGCCAGCACUAAAGUCUAUUCAUCAGUCAGAUGCUACAGUUACAAAUGACAGUGAAUGGUCAGAUUUAUACAAUUGUGAUUAACAAUCCUCAACAAUACAUCAAACAAAAAUGCCUAUUAAACUUUCUCACAGACAGUCAUAGGUUGAAAACAAAUCAGAAGUGGUCCACAUCUUAAAAAACCUCACAGCAGAUUAAGACUUUCCCCGAAAUUUCCCUGUAAAACCCGCAGUGGUAUGUCCAGUGCAGUAGAUACUGCCUGGCACAAAAGAGGAUUUGACAGUUUAACAUUGUACUGCACCAAUAAACUAAAUAUGGAGAGAAGCUUAGUCACCAAAGCAGUCAACACCAAAAUACACACAAUGGCCAGGGCACUGAAACUUGGAAGAGUGAAAGAGUAAAGUAGUGCGUUUUUAGCUAACAAAGUGACAUUGCGAGCU